AGCGUUGUUUGUGCCGGGCUCGGGAGGCUGUUCACACACACUCCUGUCACAUUAAACACAGUUUCUCCAUUUCCAAAUGGACCACAGGAGGACCUGGGUAGAAACAGGAGAAAUUGGGGAAAUGAGUCAAAUACAAAUGAGAUAUUUCCUUCUCGUAUUAACAGAGGUUGAAGCCCAGCGUGGUUGCAGCCAUCAGGAGGCCGAGCAGCAACAUGAAGUGGAAUAAAACGGAGGAGCUGGAUCCUCGAAACAUCCUCUGCUGGGCCACACAGCACCGCAGCACCGUGAACUGAAGACAGUGUGAGAGAGAAUAAGGACAUGGACGUCGCUGGAAAAUAUUCAUAUCCAGUCACCAGGGAUUCUUGGUCACAACUCCAUCUGAUCAGGGACCAUAAACUGGGAAGUUUGAAGAAAGCUGCUCAACUUCCAAACCUUUCAGGUCAGACUCAAACCUGUAGGAUGUGACGAAUGUUUGGAUUACUUAAAGGAAUAGUUUGACAAUCUGGGAACCUCUCUUAUAUUCCACUCACAUGACUGUAAGUUAGAUGUGAAGCUCGAGCCAGGAGACAUUUAGCUUAGCUUAGCAUAAAGACUGGUCACUGGCUCUGUCACCUCGACGGCUCGCACAUGUUCUUUCUCGUUUGUUUAUUUUGUAAAAAAAUAAAUAAAUUGUCCAAUCAACCGUUCGGCAAACUAUUUAUUAUCUGUGGGCAGUGACUUAAUGGAGUCUUUACCUGUUGCUUGGCAACGUCAUGCUGUAACAGGGACUCUAGAAACCAUCUCACAAAUACAUUUAAUGUUAAUAAAUGAGCUUUAGGAAAUCCAACCACCGAAAACACACAAUCUGCCAUCGACAGGGCGAUGUAUCCUGGCCUUUACGACGCUGUUAGCUAGACGCCUCAUACUAUUUAAGUGGAAACACGCUCUCCCGCCCACACAUCACAGUUGGCUAAAAGAGAUCUUAAAUCAUAUCAGAUUUGCACUCAGAGAUUCCAGUGACUCCUUUGAAGAGACCUGGAAGUCUUUUAUCAACUAUUUGAACAACGCUGCAAUCCAACAGGAGAACCCCCCUCUCUUCUUCCUAAUUUAGUAUUUUUUGUUUGUUUGUAUGUAUGCAUGCAUGUUUUCACGUAUUAAUUCCUGCUAUAUUUAAAUGUGCUUUAAGUUAG